ACAUUAUUUUUCACUCCCCUGGCAAAUAAGAUUGAUCGACUAUUCCAAAGGUCAAAAAAAUCCAACAUGGCGGGACCUUCAAAGAAGAAAAUCAAACUCAGCGAAGCUGUGGAUAAAGAAGACAAGAAGUUGGACUCAUUUCUACAGUGGUGCGCCAAGGAAGACUUUCAGCUGAACCCGAAGGUCCAUGUUGGGCGAGAAGGGUCCUGUGCCCAGUAUGGCAUGGUGGCACAGGAGGAGCUGGAGGAAGGAGAGUGUUUGUUUAAGGUGGACAAGUCCGCUGUGCUCAGCACUGAAACAACUGAAAUUGCACAUCUCCUGAAAGAAGGAGAGACCAGUCUCCACGGUGGCAGUCUCCACGGUGACAGCGGCUGGGUGCCCCAGAUACUGGCUCUCAUGUACGAGUACACCAACCCCAACUCCAGAUGGAGGCCAUACCUGCAGCUGGUGCCAGAUUUCUCACAGCUAGAUCAGCCCAUGUUUUGGACAGAAGAUGAAAUAGAAAGAGACUUGUGCAAUACAGGCAUACCAGAAGCGAGCAGUAGUGACUUAACGAAGAUGAAGCUGGAAUAUACUUCGUUGGCACUACCAUUUAUCAGGAAGCACAGACACAUCUUCAGUGAGGAGGUGCAUUCCUUUGAACUGUACAAGCGAAUGGUGGCCUUCAUAAUGGCAUACAGCUUCUUUGAGCCAGUGAGUGAUGAAGAUGGCCAGGGGGAUGAAGAUGGCCAGGGGGAUGAAGAUGGCCGGGGGGAUGAAGAUGGCCGGGGUGAUGAAGAUGGCCGGGAGGAUGAGGGGGGCAAGUCGUCCCUGCCGCUGAUGGUUCCCAUGGCUGAUAUCCUGAACCACGUCGCCAAGAACAACGCCCAGCUGGAGUGGGAUGCGGACUGUCUGAGGAUGGUCACCACCAGGACAGUGGCUGCUGGUGAGGAGGUCUUUAAUACUUUCGGCCAACUGGCCAACUGGCAGCUGCUGCACAUGUAUGGCUUUGCUGAGGCCUGGCCAGAAAACAUCUAUGACACAGUGGAUAUCCCGAUGCAGGUGGUGCUGGAGGAGGCCAGACGAGCGGCAGGCCCUGAUGAUGCCCAGUUGCUGGAAGAAAAGUGGCAGUUCCUGGAAGACCAGGGUGCCGUGAGCGAGAGCGGAUCCUUUAUUGCAGGGAUGGAAGGGAUCCUGACUGAAGAGGAGGUCUGCGAGUCCUUAAAGGUUCUGUUUAUGAGUGAGGAAGAGUUCAGGGAACACCAGGAGAAAGAAGGAUGCUGUGACUGUUGUUCUAACCAAGGUUUACUUGCCUGUGACAGGUUCUGUGUAUGAGUGAGGAAGAGUUCAGGGAACACCAGGAGAAAGAAGGAUGCUGUGACUGCUGUGCCAGUGAGGAGGAAAGGUCACUGUCCUACGACCAGCUGCCGAACCUGCCCGAGGCCUGGAGAAGCCUGCUGGCUGCAGCUGCGAGGCUCUGCAUGGGGAAGUACAGGAACACUUUACAGACGAACGAGCAACUGCUGAGCAAGGAGAGCUGGGGAAAACUGAGCAAGCGUCAGCAGUGGUCCUUACUGGUCUGUUAUGGUCAGCAGAAGCUGCUCCACAGGAUUAUAACCUCUUGUUUACCAGAAGCUAGUCAGUAGAAAAAGAUUUAUGUUGCCUGUGAUAAACUUUGAUUCUGUGGAAUCAAGAUGUCAGCUUACAAACAUGUACAUGCAUGUGUGAUAAAAUAUGGUGUACAUAAGUAAGCUACCAGUAAAUACAUUGUGAUCUGUUUGGGUAGGUUGGCUGAUAACACAUUGAACAGUGUUUAUAUGUGGACUAUAUGGGAAAAUAUGACACAAAGGUUUAUACCCUUUCCCACCUGUCAACUGCUGGUACAGCCCUAUGGCGGCGAUGAUGAUGAUGAUGAUGACAGCCCUACAUGCUCUCCACAUCGUUAGUAGUUGCAGGCCCGUGGUCAUGACAAUCACUUGAUGGCCUUGAACUGUUGAUUAUAAUAAAAGUUUGACCUACAUG